GCGGCGGGCUCCCCCUGGAGAGCACGGAGAGUUGAUUGAGCGCGGCAGGAUCUUAUUUGCAUAUUAAAAGCCGGCAGUUUGGGGACACUGGGGUAAAAUCUGAUUCCUGUUGACUUUGGGUAGAUGAGAGAAUGGCCAGCCUGUGGCAGAGACCAAAAGGAGCACUCACCCUGAGGCCAUCCUGGGGGAUGGAAACCAGACAGUGAUCUGUGGAUACAAACAGUUUACUCCCCUCAUCGGAUGGAAAGCGAGCGAGAGUAGAGAGCCUGCGAGCACUGUUGAUGCAAGCCAGGAGUCCUCCAGUUGACAGUGGAGCAGUCGCUAAUGUCAGUGAGAUAAGUGUCUGGUUUGGUUAAGGCUUUCCUCACGGCCCGCCUGGCUCCAGGUAGGGACUCCCCAUUAGCUGGGGCUGGGUUUAUAAGAAAUGGUUCCUGACCAGCUGUGGUUACGAGAGAGACAAGGUCCCCAUUUUCAGGGGCUGCUCAUUUCUCUGGCCAGGAACGGUGUCUCCUUCGCAGGAGAAGGUUGCAUCUAGGAGGAGGACUCCAGCUGGUGAGUUGCUUGCCUUCCUCCCAUGUUUUUCUCUUUUCUCUUGUGUGUUGGCCAACUUUCUCAGUCUCUCUCUCCUCUGCUCUCCUGGUGCCGUCUCCCUUUGUAGGACACGGGUAGGUGUGCAUUCCCCCAGGUGAGGUCUCGGGAGCCAUGGAGAAGUCGGAGCGGACAAAAAUCAUGCAGGGCAGUAGAAAGGCUGCUGAAAGUACCUGAAGAGACAAAGGAACUGAGAAGGGGGAAGUCCAGACUAAGACAGGAGUCUAGUCUGUAAAGAGAAACAAUGGGAAGUCUAAGCUAGAGAAACUCUUCAAGUUACCAAAAGACAUUUAGGAUGAGAAAUUACUUCUUGAAUCGAGUCUCUUUAAGAUCUUAGGCUUAGUAUGUGUGGGUAUUUGUAUUUGCUUAGUAAUCUGCCUUCUUCUGUUUGCUAUCCCUUACAGUCACUGAAAAUCUAACUUUUAUAGUGAAACUUUUUUGUUUAUUAUUAUUUAUUCUUAAACCCAGUUUGUGCAACUGGUGCUCCAUGAGGAAAUGCUUUGUGUAUUACUCCAAGGGGCUGCCCGGUGUCACUGUUGGUCCAGGAGGAAAAUGAUUUGAGCACGACCUGAAUUGGCCACCCACUGUCACUGUUGGUCCAUGAGGGAAAUGAUUUGUGCACUACCUGAAUUGGCCACGGAGUGUCACCAUCGCUCCGUGAGGGAAAUGCUUUCUGCAUUACCCUGACUGGCCACCCAGUGUCACUGUUGCUCCGUGAGGGAAAUAGUUGGUGCAUUACCUAGAAUGUCCACCCAGUGCCACUGUUGCUCCGUG